rnacentral:tRNA from 3 species
UGUGGCAGAUAAGUGCUAUGGAUUUAAGCUCCUUCUAUGGAGGCUUCAUUUUCCUCCCAUUAAAA